AAUCCUCAAAACCCCCCUUUCUUUCAUCGGAACGGGGGAUUUUGGACUUGGAGGCUCAAUGCUUGCUUUCGCUUUCGAAAGCGAGCUCCUCUUAAAUGAAUCAGUGGGGUCCGCUUUGCCGAUCCUUGACGUGAUAAGAUGUUUCUACGUUUUGGACAUGGCACUGUUUUCUCCGCUCCUAACUGUCCCACGGACAACGAUGGUGCUCCGGUCCCCUGCCAUCUGGCGCGUGGCUGGACCCACAAAAAA
rnacentral:misc_RNA from 1 species